rnacentral:rRNA from 1 species
CCUACGGGUGGCAGCAGUGAGGAAUAUUGGUCAAUGGACGAGAGUCUGAACCAGCCAAGUAGCGUGAAGGAUGACUGCCCUAUGGGUUGUAAACUUCUUUUAUAUGGGAAUAAAAUGUUCCACGUGUGGGAGUUUGUAUGUCCCAUAUGAAUAAGGAACGGCUAACUCCGUGCCAGCAGCCGCGGUAAUCCGGAGGAUCCGAGCGUUAUCCGGAUUUAGUGGGUUUAAAGGGUGGGUAGGGGGAUUGUUAAGUCAGUUGUGAAAGUUGGGGGCUCAACCGUAAAAUUGCAGUUGAAAAUGGGUGUCUUGAGGACAGGAGAGGUGGGCGGAAUGCGUGGUGUAGCGGUGAAAUGCUUAGAUAUCACGAAGAACUCCGAUUGCGAAGGCAGCUUACUGGACUGCAACUGACGCUGAGGCUCGAAAGCGUGGGUAUCAAACAGGAGUAGAUACCCGAGUAGUC